rnacentral:sRNA from 2 species
AUCCUUCCCACUGCUCCACGGGCUGCUCGGGAACCCAAUAUCGACCGGAGCCGUCUUCCCAAAUCGCCACCCUACACUGCUUUUCUAGGAAACCUACCCUAUGAUGUUACAGAAGAGUCAAUUAAGGAAUUCUUUCGAGGAUUAAAUAUCAGUGCAGUGCGUUUACCACGUGAACCCAGCAAUCCAGAGAGGUUGAAAGGUUUUGGUUAUGCUGAAUUUGAGGACCUGGAUUCCCUGCUCAGUGCCCUGAGUCUCAAUGAAGAGUGCUUCUGCUAUGCCCAGACGUUCAAGGUCACUCAAGGGAUUUGUGCAUAAUGGGGCAAAAGGUUGGUUAAUAUGGUCCUAUGCUCUCAGUCUCUAGGUAACAGGAGAAUUCGAGUGGACGUUGCUGAUCAAGCACAGGAUAAAGGUAAGGAAACUGGUAGAGAUUUCUGUUUGGUAAUGGUCCUAGGAUGACACCAAGCC